rnacentral:rRNA from 1 species
CCUACGGGAGGCAGCAGUGGGGAAUAUUGGGCAAUGGGCGCAAGCCUGACCCAGCAACGCCGCGUGAAGGAAGAAGGCUUUCGGGUUGUAAACUUCUUUUGUCAGGGAAGAGUAGAAGACGAUACCUGACGAAUAAGCCACGGCUAACUACGUGCCAGCAGCCGCGGUAAUACGUAGGUGGCAAGUGUUGUCCGGAUUUACUGGGUGUAAAGGGCGUGUAGGCGGGUUGACAAGUCAGAUGGGAAAUCCUGCGGCUUAACCGCAGAACUGCAUUUGAAACUGUUGAUCUUGAGUACUGGAGAGGCAGACGGAAUACGUAGUGUAGCGGUGAAAUGCGUAGAUAUUAGGAGGAACACCAGUGGCGAAGGCGGUCUGCUGGACAGCAACUGACGGUGAGGCGCGAAAGCGUGGGGAGCAAACAGGAUUAGAUACCCGGGUAGUC